rnacentral:rRNA from 1 species
GACGAACGCUGGCGGCGUGCUUAACACAUGCAAGUCGAACGGAAAGGCCCUGCUUUUGUGGGGUGCUCGAUUGGCGAACGGGUGAGUAACACGUGAGUAACCUGCCCUUGACUUUGGGAUAACUUCAGGAAACUGGGGCUAAUAUCGGAUAGGAGCUCCUGCUGCGUGGUGGGGGUUGGAAAGUUUCGGCGGUUGGGGCUGGACUCGCGGCUUAUCGGCUUGUUGGUGGGGUAGUGGCUUACCAAGGCUUUGACGGGUAGCCGGCCUGAGAGGGUGACCGGCCUCAUUGGGGCUGCGAUACGGCCCAGACUCCUACGGGAGGCAGCAGUGGGGAAUAUUGCACAAUGGGCGGAAGCCUGAUGCAGCAACGCCGCGUGCGGGAUGACGGCUUUCGGGUUGUAAACCGCUUUCGCCUGUGACGAAGCGUGAGUGACGGUAAUGGGUAAAGAAGCACCGGCUAACUACGUG